rnacentral:rRNA from 1 species
ACGCCGCGUGAGCGAUGAAGGCCUUCGGGUCGUAAAGCUCUGUCCUCAAGGAAGAUAAGAAGCAAUGACGGUACUUGAGGAGGAAGCCCCGGCUAACUACGUGCCAGCAGCCGCGG